AGGUAACUCUGUCCACCAAGGUUAGAACAGAUGGGAAGAAAACACUUAGUGUUUGUCUCCGCUGGGAAUUGAAGCCUCAUUUUGAUCAUCUCUUGCCCUAGCCCCACUGAUUAUGAAGUAAAUUAUUGUUGUUCUCAAAAUCCUUUUUGUAUUCAGACGAAAUGAAUCUCUCACCUUUAUUCUGAUAGAGUUCUCGGCAAAGAGUACAGUGUAUUAAUUAUUGGUAGCACUGAAAAAAUUGGACUUUGAUGGUACAGAAAUGAAAUACCGACCAGGAUAGUGAUAACAGCUCUGAGUUUCCAGCUAAGGAGUCUAACCGCGAACGUCCUUCUACUGAGUUUUUUAGAGGGCUACGCGUAUCUCCACCAGAACUUGCACUAACGCUGAAGCCCUUAAUCCGAAGCUGAAUCGAUUUAGUGCUCAGCUUUCCACGGACCUGUGCAUUCUCCUCAACCCCGGGACAAAAGAAGAAGUUUUGCCAUUACAUAUCAUUUCUUCGCCUUUUCACCAAAACUCAAGAGAGAUUGGAAAGAGUACUGAGUAUUAAUUAUUGGUAGCACUGAAAAAAUUGGACUUUGAUGGAACAGAAAUGGAAUAUCGAUCAGGAUAGUGAUGACAGCUCUGAAUUUCCAGUUAGGGAGUCUAAGCGCAAAGGAGCAGCUCUAAAAAAAUUGACUUUGAUGGUACAGAAAUGGAAUAUCGACCAGGAUAGUGAUGAUAGCUCUGAGUUAUCAACUAGGGAGUCUAAGCGUGAACAUCCUUCUACUGCGAUUUUUACCAGGCUACGCAUAGUUUUCAAGUAUGAAGUCAAAUGAUCGCCUGUUGCAGCCGAUAAACCUAGACCUGUAAGUUUGAAUAAGCCUGCCAAACAUUAUAGAACUAGAACAAAAUGGUGGGAUUACUAUCCCAUAUAGCAAGCAAGAUAAAAAAAGUUGGUUCACUGCAGCUGUUUAAGAAAAAUGAAGGAAAUUGUGAAGAUAUGGGUCCUGGGAUAUUUCUUGUUGAGGAAGUCCAUAAGAUUACUGUCUUUGACAUAAGAACAGCAAAUGCAGAUAGGCAUGCUGGGAAUAUUCUUGUAAGCAUAGAAGGGGAAGAAGGACGAAUCGUGCUUACACCAAUUGACCAUGGCUACUACUUGCCUGAGAAUGUAAGUUAUGAUUGUGUUUUCCGUAUAAAUGUUGUUUGACAAAUUAGAUGAUAAGAAAUUCUACAAACUUGUGGUUGCUUCCUUGAGAAUGGUUUUUCAUUUUCACUAACUUGAUUAUUGUGUAUGGAAGUUUUUAGAACCCUGAGGGUACAACUGCACAACUGCAUUUCUAUGCCCUGUGGAUACUUCUAAUA